CUCGGUGUAGCGUAGCCUGGUCAACGCGUUCGAUUUGGGGUCGAAAGUUCGGGGGUUCGAAUCCCUCCACCGAGACCA
rnacentral:tRNA from 1 species